UGCACGAUCAUUACCUGUAUAAAUCACAGAAUUAAUAAAUGUUUUGCAAUGAAUAACUACUGCUUUGAAUUAAUAACAUAUUUUGAAUGAACAAAACGUGUUAAUCACAUGCAUCAACAGAUUAUUACUGAGUGAAAAAUGCCGUGCGUGAGAAGGAGAACCACCUCCCGUGGGCUGGUUCCUGCAUGGGUGUAUGCCAGGGCCUGCAGCGAGGUCAAUUCUGGGAGCUCUGAGGCAGGCAGCGUUGGCAAACAUAAAUCAUGUGACGUUGUCACGCUACCUCAAGCGGAGGGCAGUGAAGCGGCUAGGUCCCCUGGCUAUAACCCGCACAAUAGGGUUUUUAACGCAGCGCAGGAGGGAAAGGUCAGGGACUUCCCGAAGAGGGCAGCAGCCAUUUAUUUUGAGAAGGGUCCAGCUGCAGGCUUGGGCGUUCCCGUCAUGACACAAAAACGCCCAUCGGGCGUUCCCGUCAUGACACAAAAAUGCCCAUCAGGCGUUCCUGUAGCGUUUCAUCGAUCAAUCAAGAAGAGGUGAGUGAGUUUCGCAAGGCAUGCUGGGUAUGCUACCCUUCCUUUUUUGGCGGUUUUACCUCGUAGUAACUUUCCAGAAAAACGAAAGGGUUAUGAUGCGAGAUUAUGUCAUACCCUGGCACAUGCUUUGUCCAAUGGACCAUGGAAGGGACUUUACUUGGCUGACGAGGACGCACCUCACCAGUAUCAGAGCAACAGCUGAGGGGUGUUUAUGCUGAUGUACGCAAUGUAUUCUACCCUCAAGAGCAAUAUGAUUUCAGUGAGGGGGACAUGCUCUCUAUCAGGAGGUGGUGGUUGGACUGCUGUUGGAGACCUUUAUGCUUGAAAGCCCUGCAGAACUAGCUGGCUCCUUCUCACCCUCUCCAUCUCCCCAU
ensembl:lncRNA